GUCCCAGCCGCCGCGGUAAUACGGAGGGUGCAAGCGUUAUCCGGAUUUAUUGGGUUUAAAGGGUGCGUAGGCGGUUUGAUAAGUCAGCGGUGAAAUAUUUCAGCUUAACUGGAAGGGUGCCGUUGAUACUGUCAGGCUUGAAUUUAGUUGCUGUGGGUGGAAUGUGUGGUGUAGCGGUGAAAUGCAUAGAUAUCACACAGAAUAUCGAUUGCGAAGGCAGCUCACAAAGCUAAUAUUGACGCUGAUGCACGAAAGUGUGGGGAUCAAACAGGAUUAGAUACCCUGGUAGUCCACACUGUAAACGAUGAUAACUCGCUGUCGGCGAUACACAGUCGGCGGCCAAGCGAAAGCGAUAAGUUAUCCACCUGGGGAGUACGACCGCAAGGUUGAAACUCAAAGGAAUUGACGGGGGCCCGCACAAGCGGAGGAACAUGUGGUUUAAUUCGAUGAUACGCGAGGAACCUUACCCGGGCUCGAACGGUGCAUGAAUAGAUCAGAGAUGGUUUAGUCCUUCGGGACAUGUAUCGAGGUGCUGCAUGGUUGUCGUCAGCUCGUGCCGUGAGGUGUCGGCUUAAGUGCCAUAACGAGCGCAACCCUUGUCGUUAGUUGCCAUCAAGUAAAGUUGGGGACUCUAGCGAGACUGCCACCGUAAGGUGCGAGGAAGGGGGGGAUGACGUCAAAUCAGCACGGCCCUUACGUCCGGGGCGACACACGUGUUACAAUGGCAGGUACAGAGGGCAGCUACCCAGUGAUGGGGUGCGAAUCUCGAAAGCCUGUCUCAGUUCGGAUCGGAGUCUGCAACUCGACUCCGUGAAGUUGGAUUCGCUAGUAAUCGCGCAUCAGCCAUGGCGCGGUGAAUACGUNCCCGGGNNUUGUACACACCGCCCGUCAAGCCAUGGA
rnacentral:rRNA from 1 species